UGUGCACAUAGUCGGAGGACUGAAACGCUGGGAGCCCUUUGGCCAAGUUGCUUCCUGGAAUGAGAGACAAUGAGCGGGGAGGAGCGGGCAGUGAUCAAGGCUCUCCAUCCAUCCGUUCAGGGCCAGCAUUUCUUUCCUGUCCUGCCUCCGGCCCCUGGCCUUCCCAAGGUGGCUUAUACAUAAAACAGAAGCUCACUAGCCAGACUAGACCAAUGAGAACAUUUCUCAGCAGAUGCAGCAGCAAAUGCCUGCUGGGAGUAAAAAUAUCCAGCAGCUUGCUACAAUUUAAUUUAUUUUAAACAUUUAUAAACUGCCUAUGCCAAUAGUCUCAAGGCAAUCCACAAUCAGAUAAAGCAACCGAAAAAUCCAAACAUUUAACCCAUAUAUGAAAUCCAAUUUAAAACAAUUCAUCAAAAAGCCUGGCUGAGCAGGUGUGUCUUCAGUAGUUGUUGCAAAGCCACCUGGGCGCUUUCUAGUUCGCUGCUCAACAGAAGCAAAAUGUCUCCGUUCAGGCAAGUCACAUUCUAAACAUAAACAGCAGGGGGAGCAGUCUCACGGAAACUAACCACCCGGAAAAACAGCAACAUUUUUACGCCGGAUAUACGGCGCCCUAGCUCUAUAUCACAGCAAUUAAAUCUGAAACAAGGCAUUGGACAUGUGAACGGCACCCUGCUGUCCACGCAAGGACUGUGGUGUCACGACACAGGAAGUGGGGGAGCACACUUCUGAGAUACGAUGUGACCCCGUUGUAGGGUCUAAUCUGGAAAGCGCCCAGGAGUGUAUGACUGAGGAGAGAGGCUGCCCCUCCCAGCCCAGACCAGACGGGGUGGGGAAAGAUGGAGAGCACCAGCAUAUUGCCUUGGCCCAGAGUCAGCAGUUCCAUGUAGAUCUUAAAUACUCUGGGGCAUGCAAUGGAUCCUGGGGGCGCCCUCUAGGCCAGGGAACAUGCGCUGAAGCCAGGGCCCCCACAGCUCCUGAGAGCCCCCAAAUCCUCUUUAGUCUGUCCCGGGUGGUGUGGUCGUCAGGCUGAGCAUGAUGAUGUUUUAUUUGCAGGGGAGGCACCUCUGGAUGGAGCUAUAAAUUCUCAGUACUAACGCCUGGAUCCUGUUCUUCAGGAAGGAUGCAAGCCAUCAAGCAAUAUCGCAUACAGAGUUGUCUGUGUCUGUGAGAAAGAGCGCAAAUACGAUUCUCCUGUUUUGAGGCAUUUCUGCUUUUCCUGCUAUUUUUUUGAUCUUUUAUUGGUGGCAGUUUUAGGAGGUAUAUUUUAAUGGUUCUAAUUUAUUGAUUAUUGUGUGUACAUGAAUUUUUUAAAUGGCAAGGAGGAAUAGAUUUAAAAAGAAUCACAAACGCUGCUGGAUUUGAGACUUGCACACCACUUGCACUCCUAGCACUACUGUUGUGAGAGAGAGAGCAGCAGAGAGUGGUGAGAGACUGAGGAGGGUUCAGAGGGAAGCUGCAAAGAUAUUAAAAGGGUUGAGAUGCAAAUACUCUAGUUGCUGGGUAUGUUUAGGCAAGAGAAAAUCCUGGUUGAUGGUAAAGAGACCUCAGAAGGAAGAGGGGAACAGAAGGUCACUACCUAUGGAUAGAGGAAACAGGCAGUGCUUUAAAACUAUAGGGGGGGAAAUUCAGGGUAGCCAUGAGGCAGAUCUACCUGGCAUGUCUAACUACGACUUCAAACCUGGCUCCCAAUCAAGAAGCUUUGGGAACAAUAGUUUUUCUGUAUUUCAGGUAGAGCAAAAGUUCAGUGGAUCACCACAACUCACCUUCACUUGAUGUGUUUGGAUUAGCAGAAGCGUUGAUUGUCCUUGGUGAAUUGACAGCCACAGUUGCGUUGCUCCCAACUGAUGCAGAGUUGCUUCCACCCGAAUUCUAGAUCUCUGUUUGGGCACUCCUGGUUUUAUCCCCUUCUUAACGGGCAUCUCUUGCCUGGAUCAGUAAAGCUCAGCCAAUCACAGAGCCCAGUGUUGAGGCUAAAGCCCCAACUGCCAUCAAGUAUUCAGCUUCUGCUUUUGCUCCUGGGCGUGAGCAGAUUGCGGGGCGUUACUGGAUUGUGGGUCUAAUUGCACAACCCUCAGCCUCUUGGACAGUUGGCUGAUAUGAGUUAUUGUACAACUUGCUACAGCUUGAGACAUGGCUUGGGUCCAUCUGCCAGCUUGCCUCAGUCUGUACCAGUUUGCUCUCCCUUUCCCAAAGGGGACAAAAGAUACCUUCCUUGCUUCAGAUGAUUAUUUGGAGGAGGAAAAACCCUUCCUUUUCCUAUUUAACUUGUGUUGAGAACCUGACCAUGAAUGAGCACUGGGGCGGCUCAGGGUGCCAACUGUACUCGGCUCCAGAGUCAAUGCCUGAUCCUGAGUGUCAUGUGGGGAAGGCCAUGUAAACAAGGUUCUUCAUUUGCCCCAGAGCGCUAUAUCUAUGGGAGAAAUUUUUGACCAAGAAUGAUGCACCUGCAGCAAAGAUCACAAAUUGUGAAAAAAACACAAUUAUUGGUUGUACAGAAAGGAAUUUCACAAUGGUCUAUUAAGGUCAUAGGAAAUACAGCUAUGCAAUGGGAUAUAAAACUACAUUCUUUAGAAGAUGAGAUGUAUAUGUCAGUAUAUGUAGAACAUGAAAAACCACACUUUAUAAUAUGAUGGUUAAGCAUGCAGCCUACAAUAAUCCUUAUCCUAUGGAUUAGUGGGAAAGUAGAAGUGUUUUAAGUAUUAAUGGGAAAAUACUGCAGGAUACCUGCACUGGUCCAUGACCGUAAUAAAGGACUGACUGCCUGACUGACUGCAGGAUACCACCUGA